rnacentral:rRNA from 1 species
CCAGCCUACGGGGCGCAGCAGUGGGGGAUAUUGGACAAUGGGGGAAACCCUGAUCCAGCGAUGCCGCGUGAGGGAAGAAGGUUUUCGGAUUGUAAACCUUUGUGGACAGGGACGAUAAUGACGGUACCUGUCAAGAAAGCCACGGCUAACUACGUGCCAGCAGCAGCGGUAAUACGUAGGUGGCGAGCGUUGUCCGGAAUUACUGGGUGUAAAGGGAGUGUAGGCGGGAAGGCAAGUCAGAAGUGAAAAUUAUGGGCUCAACCCAUAAAGUGCUUUUGAAACUGUUUUUCUUGAGUGGAG